rnacentral:rRNA from 1 species
ACACAUGCAAGUCGAGCGGCAGCACGGGUACUUGUACCUGGUGGCGAGCGGCGGACGGGUGAGUAAUGCCUAGGAAUCUGCCUGGUAGUGGGGGAUAACGCUCGGAAACGGACGCUAAUACCGCAUACGUCCUACGGGAGAAAGCAGGGGACCUUCGGGCCUUGCGCUAUCAGAUGAGCCUAGGUCGGAUUAGCUAGUUGGUGAGGUAAUGGCUCACCAAGGCGACGAUCCGUAACUGGUCUGAGAGGAUGAUCAGUCACACUGGAACUGAGACACGGUCCAGACUCCUACGGGAGGCAGCAGUGGGGAAUAUUGGACAAUGGGCGAAAGCCUGAUCCAGCCAUGCCGCGUGUGUGAAGAAGGUCUUCGGAUUGUAAAGCACUUUAAGUUGGGAGGAAGGGCAGUUACCUAAUACGUAUCUGUUUUGACGUUACCGACAGAAUAAGCACC